UACGUAGGCAGCGAGCGUUGUUCGGAGUUACUGGGCGUAAAGCGUGCGUAGGCGGUGUCUUAAGUUUGUUGUGAAAUCUCCCGGCUUAACCGGGAGGGUGCGGCGAAUACUGAGACGCUGGAGUGCCGGAGAGGUAAGCGGAAUUCCUGGUGUAGCGGUGAAAUGCGUAGAUAUCAGGAGGAACACCUGCGGUGUAGACGGCUUACUGGACGGUAACUGACGCUGAGGCACGAAAGCGUGGGUAGCAAACAGG
rnacentral:rRNA from 1 species